rnacentral:lncRNA from 1 species
UGACUAUAGCUUUGAUAUUAUUUGAUAAAUUGCUUCCGUUGCUCAUGUAUAUAAAUUUUGAAUUAUAUAUGCAUGCUAGUCAUUUAGAAAUCCCAUGUGUUAAACUCAUAAUUUUCCCUUCAAGUGGUAUCAGAGCCAAAGGUUUAUAUAUAAUGUGUCCUUUUGGAUUUUAUGCAUAUGGGUAUUAAUAUUAUGUAUGACAUAGUUAUUGCUUCAUUCUAAAUAUGUUUAUCUUUUGUUUUUCAAUAGUUGAAAAAAUGUUAGUCAAUAGUUGAGAAAGAUAUGUAUGCAAAAGAUGUUUUGUAUGCAUGAAUGAAAAUUGAGUUUUGAACUAGUUUGACAUAUUAUUUCUUCAUUUAAAGUAUGUUUAUCUUUUGUUUUUCAAUGGUUGAAAAAUAUAAAUCAAGAGUUGAAAAAGAUAUGCAUGUAAAAAGGUGUUUUGUAUGCAUGAAUGAAGAGUAAGUCAUGAACAAAAUUUGGGUUUUUGAACCAAAGGGAGGGCACGGUUUUGGGGUGGUUUUUGGGUUGUGUUUGUGUUUAUUGUAAACCACUCACACAUCCUUUUAAAGCUAGAAAGUAGAAACCUUGUCACUUUUGUUUUUGGGUUUGAAAAAUCACCAAGAAUACACAAAUCUUGAAAAUAUGUUCAUGGUUUUGUUUUUGGUGAAAAUGGUUUUAUUUGGUUUUCAUGCAUUGUUUUGUGGUUUUGGAUGAUGUUCAUACCAUCCAUAACCAUAUCAUAAAUUUAUAAAACCCUAGACUUGACUAGGAGGAUUUCCAUCACUCUUUUCACUAAAGUCAUCAAAGCAAAACCAAGUGACAAGCAAAAUUUAAUUUUUUCUACAUAAUGUGGAAUUAAUACAUGUUGUGUAAGAAUGUGUAAGAGACUUCCCAUCUCCCCUUAAUGUGGCCGGCCUCCCCUAGUGGAUUUAUCCACUUGUGGGGCUAUUUUGUAAUUUGGAAAAGUUGAUAUUUUAUACUUUUGAGUAUUUACGGUUUGACCCCUAACUUUUUCUUAUUUGCAUUUAGGCCCCUACUAACUAGAAAGUUAAAAUAUUUGAUUUUAAUUUUGUUAGUUGUUUAAACUCAUAAUACUAUUAUGCCCAUAUGCACUAAAUCUAAAUGUUCAUGUUGCAUUCCAUUUUGAUUAUUUAAUGUGAUUAAGUAGUUAGAAAAUGGGUGACUAUGGACUUAUGCCUUAAACAAUAAUUGAGCUAUGAGAUAAGACGCUAAAAUCAAAUUGUUUGAACCUUGGGAAUGUGUUUUAAUUACUGUUUUUAUUGGACCUUGUCAUGUUUGACAUUAAUCUAUCUCUCCCUCUUAGUAUGUGUAAUUUGUAGGAAUUUGUACAAAUCGGUUUGUAAUUCUUAUUAUUUCUUAAUCUCUUUUAGUUAGUUGAUUCCCUCUAGUGCUAGACUAGAGUUUCUUUAACUAUUGGUAUGGAGACAUAACUAAAAGAGGGUUUUGACAUGAGAUUAAAGAUUAAAUGGGUCCAAUGCCCUAAUUAGCAAUGAAUGAUUGUCUUUCAUUUCUAAUGGCUCAAUGAAAAUGUUUUAAUUGGAUUGAAAAGCACGUAAUUAAAUUGACACAACCUCCCCGAGUUUAUAUUCAACAAUGUUGGCUCGUUGUUGCAAUAACCUAAUAAGUCCAUGGUCAUCCAAGAGCCUAAGAUAACUAUAAAGUCCAAUUUCAAAGGAAUGCAAAAACCUUAGUAGUAGUAGUUACUUCCAAUAUUUGAAAAAAUUCGUUUUUGAUAUUGAUUUGUUUUUCUUAAAACAAAUAGUGGGAGUAUCAUACGCUACUAAACUAUAAUGAAUACAAUUAGUAGUUAUAUAUAUCUCCAAUAUUUUGAUAUUGAUUUGUUUUAUGAAAACGAAUAGUGGGGAUAUCAUAUGCUACUAAUUUCAUUAACCUUGGACUAGUAGUUGUAAUAGGACAUUAUUUAUUUGAAUAUGAUUAAAUAAAUAAAAAUUGAUGAGACCUUAAAAUCCCUCAACCAACAUACAAUAUUAAGUUGAAAGCGUAAGAGUGCUUUGAACAUUUUUUCGUGGCCUUCCACCGUGGUAGGCUCCAAUCGUUUAUGACUUGUACAUCGCCUUCACCCUAUCAUGGGGGAGUGCAAAGUGCAUGCUUAUACUCAGGAGGAGUUUAUUUAAAACAUUUGAUGAGGUUAAGGUAGGCAACGAGUGUGGCCGACAUCGUAUCAUCGUGAGGUCAUGCUUGAACCCCUAUCUAAACCGGCAUGGUGGGAAAGAACUUAACUAAGAGAAAUGAUGCCAACAUCGUAUCAUCGUGAGGCAUUGCUCUCUAGAGGCCAAAAAGAUGGGUAAUCACAAGAGGUUGUUGUGAAUGGGUAAUUGCACCCUCUCAUUAUUAUUUUUGCUAGCCAACAUCGUAUCAUCGUGAGGUGGGCUUGGUAAUAGUGAGCCUCCCAUAACCCGCUAGGAGCUUUCUUUGAAAACUCCUGGAUUCCAUCUUGAGGGAUAUGGAAUUUGCCAAAAAUGGUGGGUGG